rnacentral:tRNA from 1 species
GGGGCGUAGCUUAAUAGGUAGAGCAGUGGGUUUUUAACCCAAAGGUUGCAGGUUCGAUGCCUGUC